GAUGAACGCUGGCGGCGUGCCUUAUACAUGCAAGUCGAGCGAACGGACGAGUAGCUUGCUUCUCUGAUGUUAGCGGCAGACGUGUGAGUUACAUGUGGAUAACCUCCCUAUAAGACUGUGAUCACUUCGAGACCCCGGUGCUACUACCUGCUAAUAUUUUGAACCGCAUGGUUCACUUGUGACAGCCGGUCUUGCUGUCACCUGUUGACUGAUUCGCUCUGCAUUAGCUAGUUGGUAUGGUAAAGGCUUACCAAGGCGACGAUGAAUAGCCGGCCUGAGAGGAUGACCAGCCACACUGGAACUGAGACACGGUCCAGACUCCUACGGGAGGCAGCAGUAGGGAAUGUUCGGCAAUGGGCGAAAGCCUGACGGAGCAACGCCGCGUGAGUGAUGAAGGCCUUCGGGUUGUAAAACACUGUUGUUAGGAAAGAAAAUAUUUGUAAGUAACUGGGCGGAGGAUGACGGUACCGAAACAGAAAGCCCCGGCUAACUACGUG
rnacentral:rRNA from 1 species